AGGAAAGGGAACCCUGGAUAAAUUUGUCCCAAACCUUCAGAAAUCCAGAAUGUUACCGUUCACGGAGGGUUCCCGGCUGAAAAGACGAACCAAAAGUUUUAUGCUUCAGAACUAACAUCCUUAAUCUGCAACUAUGAUGAAGCUGUUGACCAUCGUUUUGGGUGCAGUGAUGCUACUCGGCUUCAUGGAACCAAUGAUGGGAGCUGGUCACCAACCAUGCUGGACCCGUUGGAUCAACUCAGACAGUCCCAAUGACGGACCAGGUGACAUAGAGCUUUUAGCUGACCUGAC